GUAGUCUCGCACAGAUGCAUAUCAAUAAGCGGAGGAAAAGAAACUAACUAGGAUUCCCUCAGUAACGGCGAGUGAAGCGGGAAGAGCUCAAAUUUGAAAUCUUCAAGGUUCUACCUUGACGAAUUGUAGUUUAAAGAAGUGUUUUCUGUUGGAGUUUUGGUAAAAGUUCUUUGGAAUAGGACAUCAUAGAGGGUGAGAAUCCCGUAUUUGACCAUUACUUUCCAGCUUUGUGAUACACUUUCAAAGAGUCGGAUUGUUAGGGAAUGCAGUCCAAAAUGGGUGGUAAAUUUCAUCUAAAGCUAAAUACUGGCGAGAGACCGAUAGCGAACAAGUACCGUGAGGGAAAGAUGAAAAGAACUUUGAAAAGAGAGUUAAACAGUACGUGAAAUUGUCAAAAGGGAAGCGUUUGACACCAGUGUUGUUUUCUCGAAAAUCAAUUAAAAAAGGCAGGAUUUUGUGUUGUAUUGACUUUAUCAGCUUUCUGCACUCUUUUCUUGUCUUUUUUAAUGCACUUUUCGUUUAACAAGUCAACAUCAAUUUCUUUUGUUGUAAAAGGGUCAUUGGAAGGUGGCUUUCUUUUCGGAGAAAGUGUUUAUAGCCUUUGGCCUCUGCAAUCGGAGAGAUUGAGGUCUGCAGCGUAGAUCCUUCGGGGUUAGAUACAUUUGUGCUAAGUUAUAGCCUUUCAUAGACAACUUGUUGACUAUGAUCAGUCAUGUAGCUUACUCGCUUAUGCUAUUUUACCUACGCUUAGGAUGUUGAAGUCAUCGUAUCGCGC
rnacentral:rRNA from 1 species